rnacentral:rRNA from 1 species
AUUGAACGCUGGCGGCAUGCUUUACACAUGCAAGUCGAACGGCAGCGCGGGCUUCGGCCUGGCGGCGAGUGGCGAACGGGUGAGUAAUGCAUCGGAACGUGCCCAGUAGUGGGGGAUAGCCCGGCGAAAGCCGGAUUAAUACCGCAUACGACCUGAGGGUGAAACCGGGGGACCGAAAGGGCUCGCGCUUUUGGAGCGGCCGAAGUCGGAUUAGCUAGUUGGUGGGGUAAAGGCUUACCAAGGCGACGAUCCGUAGCUGGUCUGAGAGGACGACCAGCCACACUGGGACUGAGACACGGCCCAGACUCCUACGGGAGGCAGCAGUGGGGAAUUUUGGACAAUGGGGGCAACCCUGAUCCAGCCAUGCCGCGUGCGGGAAGAAGGCCUUCGGGUUGUAAACCGCUUUUGUUCGGGAAGAAAUACUCUGGGCGAAUACCCCGGGGGGAUGACGGUACCGGAAGAAUAAGCACCGGCUAACUACGUG